rnacentral:rRNA from 1 species
AGUCGAACGGAGUAGAAAUACUUGAGUGGCGGACGGGUGAGUAACGCGUGAGAAUCUGCCAAAAGGUUCGGGACAACCACUGGAAACGGUGGCUAAUACCGAAUGUGCCUUCGGGUGAAAGAUUUAUUGCCUUUUGAUGAGCUCGCGUCUGAUUAGCUAGUUGGUGGGGUAAAGGCUUACCAAGGCGGCGAUCAGUAACUGGUCUGAGAGGAUGACCAGUCACACUGGGACUGAGACACGGCCCAGACUCCUACGGGAGGCAGCAGUGGGGAAUUUUCCGCAAUGGGCGAAAGCCUGACGGAGCAAUACCGCGUGAGGGAGGAAGGCUCUUGGGUUGUAAACCUCUUUUCUCAGGGAAGAACACAAUGACGGUACCUGAGGAAUAAGCAUCGGCUAACUCCGUGCCAGCAGCCGCGGUAAUACGGAGGAUGCAAGCGUUAUCCGGAAUGAUUGGGCGUAAAGCGUUCGUAGGUGGUCCUUCAAGUCUGCUGUCGAAGCGCAGGGCUUAACUCUGUACAGGCGGUGGAAACUGAAGAGCUAGAGUGCGGUAGGGGUAGAGGGAAUUCCCGGUGUAGCGGUGAAAUGCGUAGAGAUCGGGAAGAACACCAGCAGCGAAAGCGCUCUACUGGGCCUGCACUGACACUGAGGGACGAAAGCUAGGGGAGCGAAUGGGAUUAGAUACCCCAGUAGUCCUAGC